rnacentral:rRNA from 1 species
UACGUAGGGGGCAAACGUUGUCCGGAAUCAUUGGGCGUAAAGAGCGUGUAGGCGGCUUGGUAAGUCCGCUGUGAAAGUCCAGGGCUCAACCCUGGAAUGCCGGUGGAAACUGUCAAGCUUGAGUCCGGAAGAGGCGAGUGGAAUUCCUGGUGUAGCGGUGAAAUGCGCAGAUAUCAGGAGGAACACCAAUGGCGAAGGCAGCUCGCUGGGACGGUACUGACGCUGGAGACGCGAAAGCGUGGGGAGCAAACAGG